rnacentral:rRNA from 1 species
CCUACGGGAGGCAGCAGUGAGGAAUAUUGGUCAAUGGACGCAAGUCUGAACCAGCCAUGCCGCGUGCAGGAAUAAGGCUCUAUGAGUUGUAAACUGCUUUUGUACGAGGGUAAAUCCCGAUACGUGUAUCGGGUGGAGAGUAUCGGACGAAUAAGGAUCGGCUAACACCGUGCCAGCAGACGCGGUAAUAAGGAGGAUUCAAGCGUUAUCCGGAUUUAUUGGGUGUAAAGGGUGCGUAGGCGGUUGGAUAAGUUAGAGGUGAAAUCCCGGGGCUCAACUCCGGCACUGCCUCUGAUACUGUCGGGCUAGAGUAUAGUUGCGGUAGGCGGAAUGUAUGGUGUAGCAGUGAAAUGCAUAGAGAUCAUACAGAACACCGAUUGCGAAGGCAGCUUACCAAACUACGACUGACGUUGAGGCACGAAAGCGUGGGGAGCGAAAAGGAUUAGAUACCCUUGUAGUC